GACGAACGCUGGCGGCGUGCUUAACACAUGCCAGUCGAACGAUGAAGCAAAGAAUCGAAGCUUCGGCAGAAAUUCAUUUCGGAUUAGUGGCAGACGGGUGAGUAACGCGUGAGCAACCUACCUCUUACAAAGGGAUAGCCUCGGGAAACCGGGAUUAAUACCAUAUAACAUUGUGACGAAGCAUUUCGAUGCAAUCAAAGCUACGGCGGUAAGAGAUGGGCUCGCGUCCCAUUAACCGGAUGGUGAGGUAACGGCUCACCAUAGUGACGAUGGGUAACCGGCCUGAGAGGGUGAACGGUCACACUGGAACUGAGACACGGUCCAGACUCCUACGGGAGGCAGCAGUGGGGAAUAUUGCACAAUGGAGGGAACUCUGAUGCAGCGACGCCGCGUGAGUGAUGAAGGAAUUCGUUUCGUAAAACUCUGUUCUAUGGGAAGAAAAGGACUGUACCAUAGGAGAAAGCUCCGGCUAAAUACGUG
rnacentral:rRNA from 1 species